AGGCUCUCCACUGGCCCAGCUCAACAGGAAGUCAGAAGAUAUGGAAGCCCAUUGAUGCAACCCAUAUACGUAAGUCUUCAAAAGGAACUGAAGAGAAAUUUUAGUCAAGAAGAGCUACAGAAUUCAAAUUAGCUGAAGGUCUUAGAUUUAAGCCUUUGAUCCAUCUCGAGUUGAUUUUUAUUAAGCUCAGGUUGAAGAAGCAAAAGGGGAUUGAGAACUGAAACCACCUGCAUCAAUAUGACAGAGAUAUUUGGAGCGAGAACUGAGAAUACCUGUGUCAACACAACUUAGUUUUUGUUCCAGGAAAUCUUUGCCCAGUAAAUAUAAGACUAUAAAAACCAAUAAAUUAUAUCACUGUUCGUUU